UCUUCAGCCUCCUUCCGCCACGCCCGUGCCUCCACUACCAGUAAUGUGCCGCCCCCACCUCCCACCGCGGUCGCCGCCCGCAACUACGACCGCGGCUGCCGCCACCUAUCUCCCGCCACGGCCGCCGCACCCAUCUCUCGCUGCGGCUGCCGCCCCAAACUCCCACCGCUGCUGCCUCCCCCAACUCCCGCCGCGGCUGCCGCACCCACAUCCUGCCGCGGCUGCCGCACCUAACUCCCGCCGCGGCUGCCGCCCGCCAUCGGUCCUCUCCUCCACGAGCCCCAGCGUGGAUCCCCUGCAGCGGCCAAAUCCCGGCGCGCUCAGCCGCAGCUCCUGAACCCCGCUUCCAUCAGCUCCACUCCACCGGAGCGGUCAGUCCGUAGGAGUUGUGGUAGCAGGUCCACUUCCUCUACUGGUCGACACCCGCGAGGCCGUCUAUACUCUUUGCCGAGCUUCUCUACCAUUAGUGGCCGCUCCGCCCACCGGCUAUCGGCCAGAGGUGAAUUCUUCUCAGCUAAGAGCAUGGACCCCUUUCAAGGAUGCAAAUUGGGAAGCUCUGGUGUUAUCACCAUCCAAAUUCUGUUCUUCAGAUAUGCAAGAUUCUUCAUUGUUUAUCGGUUGCUUAGGGCACAUGGUUACGUUGGUGAGACAUCUCUACUCCAGGGGUGGGAGGCACACGGCGGCCAGAGGUGGGAGGUGCGCGUCAGCCGGAGGUGGGAGGCGCGCGUCAACUGGAGGUGGGAGGCGCAUGACAGCCGGGGUGGGAGCCCCCCUGUGCAGCUGUGGAGUCCGUCCUGGCUGAGCUGCUCAGGCUGUUCAACUUUGCGUCUCCGGUCGCUCGGCCAAUGCUUGGCGAGGAGCGACCCAGUCUCGCUCGUGUGUGGAGUUUGGAGCAUCUCCUACCACUGUGUUCUACUCUCCUCUAUUUUCAACUGAACGUGCUUCCAUUUAUGGAUAUCCCCUUGACUCCACAACAAGUUGAAUCCCACAAAUCCUACUGGUAAGUGCAAGAUUCAGUACUGUCCUUUUGAUUUUCUAUAAAAAAGGACAAUCCUUCUUGUUGCUUGACAUAGAGUACUGACAUCCAUCCACGGAACAAUCAAGCAACCAUGUAUGGAUGCCUUUAUCGACCCACCAAUGUGUCGCGGAUGUGAUCUUUGUGCACUUUUGAGUGUUGUAAAAAACUUAUAUGCUUCUGGUUGGUGCUCGCUGCCACUGGCGAAUUGUGCAAGUGCAAAAAGUUUUAUAUCGCAAGUUUAAAGAGGGUUUUAUGCAAGUUCAGAAGUCUAUUUUGAGCAUCUUUAGGUGUUUGUUGUAAUGCAGAAAAGAUAUUUUAAUGUUCCAAAACAAACCUAGUGAAAAAUUCAUGUUUAAAAUAGUUUGCCAAAUUGUCUCAGUGCACUGGACUACUAGCUUUCAUGUGUUUCAUGUUAAUUUGUAGCUACCUCUUGCUUGUUAAUUGCUAUAGCUUACAAUACAUAAUGAUUUUUUCGUGUGUGAUCAGUACUUUAGGUGCUAAUCAAGGAAUAGGUAGGGUUAUUCAGAUUGAGGAUCUUAACUAAUCAUGUUAAUGGUUGUUCUUGCUCCCUGUGCUUUACAGCGACUACUCCAGAAAAAAGCCACUAGAAUGUGCUGCGCUCAGUACUCUCUUGACAAAUCGAGCAGUGCAGGUUCUCUAGUGUGCCGAAAUAUUGCCAGCAGCGAUGCCUGCAUCAUGGCCCAUUGAUGAGAUGCUGCUUUUCUGUAUGCAUAUUUGUCUAUUUAGUUUUGUGUACUAUUGUUUGUCCCAAUUGAUCCUUGUGUUAAUCCUUGUAUGUCGUGCACUUCUGAUCUCAUCAUGAAGUGAAAAAAGACAAGCGAGCUAAGUACUUGUUUGGAAAGUUUGCAAGAACACAUAAACCUAAAAGGAGUUCAUUGAAAAACUUUGGUUUCAUUCAAAAAAUGUGAUUUUUGGUUGGAAAAUGAUGUUUUUUCUGCUCACAUAAAAUUGAUUAUGUGGCUGUUGCAUUGGAGUUACUCUGACCCAUGCAAAAUAAAUUACAGUAAGCAAAAAAGAAAAUCUAUUUACGUACGGAUGUAGACAAAUUUCUGGAGCACAAUAGACUCAUCGUGUAUCAGUUGACCAUUCAUUCAGUUACUUCAAGCUCGUCAGUUGCUUCAACGACGGGAGGACAGGGCGGCGACGUGUUCGAGGACUGCGACUGGCGGCAGAGAUUGGUUCAUGGACCGGCUCCCGCCGGCGUAGGAGAACGCUGGCCGGUGAUGGAUCUUGAGCACCGCCUCCGGUUCCCUAUGCUCAGGCGACCCUGGUUACCACCGGCACGCGUGUGUGGGCGGUCCUCCGAGGUAGAUGGAUCUUGAGCACCGCCUCCGGUUCCCUAUGCUCAGGCGACCCUGGUUACCACCGGCACGCGUGUGUGGGCGGUCCUCCGAGGUAGCUCUCCUUUUGUGUUGUCCGCAGCCGCCCACGCAUGCUGCCCCGAUUUCUACCUCGCCUCUGACCUUGAUUGACUACUAUUGUUGGUAGGUGUUUCAUGAAUGCACCGAUGAAGCAUCAUGUGAACUGAAGGUUUUCUUGCCCACCAUCUAUUUAUGAAAUUCCUACAAGAACUAAUGAUGAGAUUGGUGUUCCAAACACACAAGCUAAAGCGGAUUUUCAUAUAGCUACAUCUAGUGAACUUCAGCUCACCUCUAAUAAAUACCUUUUUUGUGUUUCUUUUUUAAGUCAUUAUAUGCUCUCAAAAUGUUUAUGUUUAUGCCUCAAAACGAGAGAGAGAAAACUAGUACAUGUGUCUCACGCUUUGUUACAUAACAUUUUAAUUAUCUUUACCACAAAGCUUCAUCUAUCCAGAGAAGUUCAAAGUAAAGAUUAGUUCACACUUUAGGUUCUGCUCCUUUGGUCUAUUUGUUCAGUUCUGACUCCUUCAGUUUUGGUUGCAGAGAAAGUUCAAAUUUCAUGCUCCUUUAAUUUUUGUUAAGUCAGGGAGAGUCAGGUUUUGCUUGGGCAUCAUCUCGUAUCGUCCGUUCAGCAAAAGCCUCCAGAUAAGUUCAGACUUGUGGUUUUGCUCAUUGGUUUAAUUCCUCAGUCCAAACUCCUUGGGUUUUUGUUCCAGAGAAGUUAAAGAAAACCUGUAGAAGUUUGUGGUAAGAUAUCUUUCACUUGAAGCAGGAACAUCAACUGCCACAUUGAUACUUACAAGAAUUCAGCCAUGUUUGCUUAUUGACCAUGGAUGCGCCCAACGAAGGACAACGAUAGGCAAAAAAAUACUAGUGCAUCUGCUUGCCUCCUCUUCAUACUCCAUACUGGAAAACAUCCUUUCCCCCUCUGUUUUCUUUGGUAUGUUUUCAUUAAAAGACCUCAGAAUAGCAAGUAGAAGUUCGACAAAAAGGAUUGACAUCAGUUCAACCGUAGAAAGAGAACAAGUCCAGUGAAGGAGGAGGCGGCAAAACAUAUAGCUUAUCUAUCUAGUCGAGCUUACUGACUGAAUCAGUUAAAAUGAUUUGAUUUUUAGUUCAUCUUCUGGGUUAUAGACCAGUCACAUGUACUUGUGUCAGGUCGCCUGCAAAUUUGUUAUCGUUGUCUAUUCAUGUGUGUUCUUCUUGUCA